GACGGAGGAUGCAAGUGUUAUCCGGAAUCACUGGGCGUAAAGCGUCUGUAGGUGGUUUAAUAAGUCAACUGUUAAAUCUUGAGGCUCAACCUCAAAAAUCGCAGUCGAAACUAUUAGGCUAGAGUAUAGUAGGGGUAAAGGGAAUUUCCAGUGGAGCGGUGAAAUGCGUAGAGAUUGGAAAGAACACCGAUGGCGAAGGCACUUUACUGGGCUAUUACAACACUCAGAGACGAAAGCUAGGGUAGCAAUGGG
rnacentral:rRNA from 1 species